GGGCAGAUGAGGACACCUUAACUGGGUUGAAGAGAGGUGAUGACAUAAAAAGUAUGCUCAACAGGAUUAUGCUGAGGCCC
rnacentral:snoRNA from 1 species